UGGGUUUUGAAUUUGUGGUAACAGGUGUGAGCAUUCUAGCAGCAGUUAGAUGAUCACAUAUGAUAUUGCAAACAGG
rnacentral:miRNA from 1 species